rnacentral:rRNA from 1 species
GAUGAACGCUGGCGGCGUGCCUAAUACAUGCAAGUCGAGCGAACAGACGAGGAGCUUGCUCCUCUGACGUCAGCGGCGGACGGGUGAGUAACACGUGGAUAACCUACCUAUAAGACUGGGAUAACUUCGGGAAACCGGAGCUAAUACCGGAUAACAUGUUGAACCGCAUGGUUCAACAGUGAAAGACGGUUUUGCUGUCACUUAUAGAUGGAUCCGCGUCGCAUUAGCUAGUUGGUAAGGUAACGGCUUACCAAGGCAACGAUGCGUAGCCGACCUGAGAGGGUGAUCGGCCACACUGGAACUGAGACACGGUCCAGACUCCUACGGGAGGCAGCAGUAGGGAAUCUUCCGCAAUGGGCGAAAGCCUGACGGAGCAACGCCGCGUGAGUGAAGAAGGUCUUCGGAUCGUAAAACUCUGUUAUUAGGGAAGAACAAAUGUGUAAGUAACUAUGCACGUCUUGACGGUACCUAAUCAGAAAGCCACGGCUAACUACGUG